GUGUUUGAGAAAGUACCCUUAAACACACAGAAAAAUGGGGUUGGACUUCCUUCCUGGUGUUGGAGAGAGGAGCUUGUUCAGCCCAGUCUGAUGUGGUGUGCUGCCUCUUCUUGGUUCAGCCCGAAGAUUCAGACCCAAUCACUUCUUAAGGAAAGACUGGAAACAAUGUUGGAAGCCACCUAUUGGAGAAUGAUUGAGAAAAUUAUAUUUCUUCCUGGUUUCGGAAUCAGUACCAUAUCUGUGUCAUAA
rnacentral:lncRNA from 1 species